ensembl:lncRNA
UAUUUUAUCUCCAGGCACCUGAGUUGUAUUUGUUCAAGGUGAAUGAUUCCAGAGAAGAGGUUUGCUCGGUCCAUCAGCCUAAGGAAAUGAUGAAAUCGACCAAUUACUAAUAGGAAAUAUGUCAGAAGCUUUAAAAUUUCAUGAGAAACAUCAUGUUAAUGGGAAAGGUUUAAAGAAAAAAAUUCCCAUUGCUCGGCGACAAGCCAAAAAUAAUAAAAAAGUGCCUUACAUGUUCUCUCUACAACCAAACUCCAUUACCUGUGGGUAGUAACCCUAGGGGCACCAAAAGAAAUGACAUCUGGCAGUGGAUGUUUUCCAUUUCCCAGAAUUUGGAAAGCAAAGAUAUAUACACCAUGCAUACCAUUGACCCAUUCUCGGGGUUUCAAUGGGCAACUGCUUUAAGUUCUGAAAGGCUGACUGUGCAAUUACACACUUACUGGAAAUAAUGGCAGGGUUGGGGAUUUAGCUCAGUGGUAGAGCGCUGGCCCUGGGUUCGGUCCCCAGCUCUGAAAAAAAGAAAAAAAAAAAAGAAAUAAUGGCAAUUAUGGGUCAGCUGCACCAAUUAAAACUGAGAGUGCUCCCGCGUACGUAUCCGAUAAGAUGAAGCAGUUCUCUGCAACCGUAAGAUAUAGCACGAUACCACACAAUCCCACAGGACAAGCCGAAAGAGCCAAUCACACCUUAAAAGAGAUGCUGAGUAAACAAAAAGAGAGAAUGAAAACCGCCAGGGACAGACUAACACUCAACUUUCUUACUGUUGGCGAGAAAGGGAGCUACAGCCGCUGAGAGACACUGCGUUAUCAAAAAACUGAGCAACCGGUCCAACCAAUAUACUAUAAGGAUGUGUUGACAUUAGAAUGGAGACCUGCAAUGGUUUUUAAGAUGGGGACGUGGUUUAUGCUUAUGUAUGUACAGGGAAUGAAAAAAAAAUGUCAAUACCAAGAAAACUUACAAGGAUUAGAUCGGACCAACAAAACUUAUAAAAAUCAGAUCUGACCAGGGAAAACCUCUUAUCACCGGAGACAAGGAUGUCUCCACAAAGCAAACAGCCCAAAUAAUUCUCAGACUGUCUCAAUUACUGACUUCUUCAGAAAACGCAUGCAAAUCAACUUCAAAGGGCUGGGCCAGGUGAUCCGUCAUGAAGAGCCGGACAGACAGACAAUGCAGAGACUGAGUAAUAAAGGCUGCACUUAGCUUUUUUCGGACUAACCAUUUUCUGGAUAAUUUUGCUUGCUUUACGUGCUAUGAUUGCUGUCAUCUAGGG